rnacentral:rRNA from 1 species
UACGGAGAGUGCAAACGUUGUUCGGAUUCACUGGGCGUAAAGGGCACGUAGGCGGCUCGGCAAAUCGGUCGUGGAAUCCAGACGCUUACCGUCUGAACGGCGGCCGAAAAUACCGGGCUCGAGGGCGUGAGGGGUCACUGGAACUCCUGGUGAAGCGGUGAAAUGCGUAGAUAUCAGGAGGAACGCCGGAGGUGAAAGCGAGUGACUGGCGCGUUCCUGACGCUGAGGUGCGAAAGCUAGGGGAGCAAACAGG